rnacentral:misc_RNA from 1 species
CCCUCCCCUCCCCCACCAAGGGUCGUGUCGUGCAUUAGGUUCUGCCGUGCCGUCAUGACAUGGACGGCUUUGUUCCGCCAUUGAGGAAAGCGACCAAGCGUCGCCAUUGAGGAGGACGAGCAGGUUCCGCCACGAAGGAAAACGCCCGAGCGCCGCCACAGGCAAUAGUUGGUGGCGCGCACACUCGUGGCGAAAAUCGCCUUGCGCGCCCCUAAGUUGGCGGUAUCGUCGCAUGGCCGCCGCCCCGGACCCAGCACUAGGCCUAAAUGCCAUGGUCCAGGGGGGCCGUGCCCAAGGAAGUUGUCGGACGGCCGGAUGAGUGGCAUCGAGAGAAGCGUCCGCCUCGGGCGCGGAAGGCCGAUCAUCGUGUUGGACGUGCGUGCACGGAAGCGGUACGGGUACCGACCUGAUUCCGGCCGUGGCAAACGUUCUCCUCGCCGCGGCAGAGAAAAUGAUCGUUUUUUGACCCACGGGCAGAGGCGACCUGCCCCUUCCUAGCGUUGUGGCAGGGAACCCGCGGGGGGCUGUCCGCCCCGGGUAUAGUAGGGGGAGGCAGCCCCCGACACGUGCUUGUCACGGCAUAGAAAAUGGUCGUUUUUUGACCCGUGACUGAGGUGACCUGCCCCAACGAGGCGUUGCGGCAGGGAACCCGCGGGGGGAUGUCGGCCCCGGGUAUAGUAGGGUUGGAAGAAACGGAGGAACCAAAAAAACCCACACGCGCGCGCGCCCGCCCCGCCCGCGCCUCGCGUCUACACGUGACUUGUGACUUGUGACUUUGGGCUUUGGGCCUUUGGGCCUUUGGGCAUAUUUCGAAGCAAACCACGGUGGUUGAGCGGCGGGCACGGUCAUGCCGGUCGGGUUGCCCGUUUCUCGGCCCCGCGGCAUUGUUUGGGUGCUUGCUUUGAAGGAAACCACGGGCGUUAACCCCACCGGGUACAGUUAGUCCGGUCGGGCUGGCAAACUCGGCAGAUUUCCUGCCGCGGCAGGAAUUGUCGUUGUCGCGGCAGAGGAGAGUGCCGUCUUUUGACCCGCGGCAGCGGUCGGAAAGCGCUUCCGACCGUUGCGGCGGGGAACCCGCGGGGGGAUGUCGGCCCCGGGUAUAGUAGGGGGAGGCAGUCCCACGACGGGUCGGCUGCCGCGGCAGGAGGGUUGCCCGUUUCUCGGUCCCGCGGCAUUGUUCGGGUGCUUAUUUUGAAGGAAACCUCGGGUGUUAACCCCCACCGGGUACAGUUAGUCCGGUCGGGCUGGCAAACUCGGCAGAUUUCCUGCCGCGGAUUCUGCCGCGGCAGGAAUUGUCGUUGUCGCGGCAGAGGAAAGUGUCGUUUUUUGACCCGCGGCAGCGGUCGGGAAGCGCUUCCUAGCGCUGUGGCAGGGAACCCGCGGGGGGAUGUCGGCCCCGGGUAUAGUAGGGGGAGGCAGUCCCCCGACGGGUCGGCUGCCGCGGCAGGAACGCGGCAGGAGUGUGGCUUUUUUCUCGGCCCGUGGCAUUGUUCGGAAGCUAAUUUCUGACGGAAACCACGUUGGCUGGACUCACCGAGGCAGGCCGGAUCGGCGGGCGCGGCAGAAAUCCUGCCUCGUCCGCAGGGUUGCCGUUUUUCGUGCCCGUAACAUCGUCCGGAGGCUUAUUUGAAGGAAACCACGGGUGUUUCGACCCCCAGGUAUAAAGCAGCGGUCCUGCCGUGGCAGGAAAACGGCCCGUCCUCUUGCGCCCGUGUCAUCGUAACUCCCGCGCGCUGUGGACCUUCGGUCGCCGUAUUGAGUAGACCCGCCGUGCUCUGCGCGGUGUGAUGCUUGUACGGUCUGAACGUCGUGGCUACGCUAGCGCAUGAGUUGUCUUGGACCAGUGUCUGCCGGCAGAUCCCCCGCCGUUGUGCGGCCGACUACCGGCGCCUGUGUCCUAUCAACGUUGCAUUGGACGGCUCUUACUUUUGCCGCCUUACCGGAAAGUUCUUGCAUGAUGGUCCCCGACCAACGGGAAUUGGUGCGUCGUAGAGAGUAGCCUCGCGGUGGAUGCCUGUUGGCGUUCCACUGCGGCCAUAUUGCGUUGGCGGCGUUGCCUCGUGGUGCCAUCACGCUACGUGUUUGGCCCUACCAAGGACACCUCGCUCCCGCUCUUGGUCUCGGAUGUCGCUCAUUGUAGAGGCUCGUGGCCCUUUGGCGUCGCGUCCCUUUCUGAAGCUCACCCAAAGGACGACAGCCGCUCCGUUUUUUUGCCGUUGCCAUGGCAUGCAAGUGGCUGGCACGCGCGACUCUCGGUGACGGCUUGUCGACUAGGACGUGCU